CUUGGCAAUCACAUCAGGAAGUAACAUUUACUGACCGCUUAUGACAUGCUCUUCCUGCUCCAAACACUGCGCACGAUUGUGUCCUAUAACCCUGCAGUGACCCUCAGGCUUAGGAACUUUCAUUUCCCCAUUUUAUAGCUGAGGAGCCUAUGGCUCAGGGCAGUGAGCACACGCCCCCAGGGCCACCACGCAGACUGCGAUGGGCAUAGGUGGUCUUGCUCAGCCUGUCUCCUGCGCCACCUCUGCAGACGCACGAGUUGUCCUUGAAAAGUCCCCGGAAGCAUGGCAGCUGUCGGACUGGUUUUCCAUUUGAACUCGCUCCAAGUCAUUCUGAACAGGAACCCGGGACACUAGAAUCCAACAAAACCAGGAACCCGAAUCAGGAGUGAAUGAACGAACGAAUGAAUGAGUUGAAAAACAAAAGACAAAGGGGUAAGGGUCGGUGAAAUAUUAAGAAAUUUUCAUUUAAAAAUUUUGGCAUUUUAAGAAAAUCAAUGGAUUUGGAAUUAAAAAUACU
rnacentral:lncRNA from 1 species